GCUGUGUAAGUGCUAUUUGACCAAGGAGGAGACUGAUGGAGUGCUGCUGCAGAUGACCUGGCCUCCACAGUCAGCUGGACCUGAACCUCAUUGAGAUGUUUUGGGGAUUCACUUCCACAUGUGAAGGAGCUGCUGAUGUGGGAGUGAUCUGUUCUGCAGGUCACAGUCAGGUUACAGAAGUUUGAGCUGUUAAAGACUGAAUCCACGUUCAGAAGAACUGGAGACACUGGAUCUGAGGAGGAAAUGACACACCAACAAAGUCAAACAAACACAGAUAAUCUGCUCUUUAGAUGUGAGAGAAAACAAAGAGAUUUACCUUCAACUGUGACGUUGUAUUCUGCUACAACUUCAUCUUUAUCAAAUGAUCUUAUUACUGAAUAAACUCCACUGAAGGAU